rnacentral:rRNA from 1 species
AGCAGCCGCAGUAAUUCCAGCUCCAAUAGCGUAUAAUAAAGUUGCUGCAGUUAAAAAGCUCGUAGUUGAAUUUCGGGACCAUCAUGUCGGUCGUGCCUAGGUACGUACUGGUAUUGUUGGUUUCUCCCUUCUGACGAACCAUGAUGUCAUUUAUUUGGUGUUGUGGGGAAUCAGGACUGUUACUUUGAAAAAAUUAGAGUGUUUAAAGCAGGCUCACGCUUGAAUACAUUAGCAUGGAAUAAUGAAAUAGGACGUUUGAUUCUAUUUUGUUGGUUUCUAGGAUCGACGUAAUGAUUAAUAGGGAUAGUUGGGGGCAUUAGUAUUCAAUUGUCAGAGGUGAAAUUCUUGGAUUUAUUGAAGACUAACUACUGCGAAAGCAUUUGCCAAGGAUGUUUUCAUUAAUCAAGAACGAAAGUUAGGGGAUCGAAGACGAUCAGAUACCGUCGUAGUCUUAACCAUAAACUAUGCCGACUAGGGAUCGGAUGAUGUUAAUUUUUUAAUGACUCAUUCGGCGCCUUACG